CAAACGUCCUGGACCCGGACGUGGACCUGGACCGAGUUAGAUCCGAGACCUGAUUUAACACGGUCACAUUAUUCCUCAAAACACCGGAGACAGAAAAACACAAACUGACGGUUUACCUCCGGAAACUCUGAACUCAAACCCAGGCAUCUGAUCCGGGACCAGCUCUCAGACCAGGACAGACCCGCAGAGUCCAGUAACAAUCAGCGGAAAUCAGUAGAAACCAGUAGAACACGUCUCGGAGCGACAGACGGCUCAGCCGCUUCUCUUCUUCUUUGACAGAUUAUCGCCCCACCGGCGCUUUGCUGCCCCCUGCUGUCUGAUACUGUUAUAGACGAGGGCAGAAUAGAAGCGAAUAGAAUAGAUUCUUUAUUGUAAUCAUAGGAGUUAUUAUUAUUCGUGACGCCUAAACAUGCUCAAAAACUCGCGAAACUUUGCAAACGCUUCAGACCUGGCGACCUCGUUCAUUGGCGCCAUAAAAUGGCUCCAUAGCGCCCCCUGGACAUACUCAAACCCCCCUUGCCAUUGGGCUUAGUUUGUCCGGGGUGAACGAAAUUCGUAGGCAUGAUGUAACAUGCCGAGACACAAACCUACAGGAAGUCGGCCAUUUUGAUUUUAACUUUAAAAAAUUGCUCAUUUUUGGCCAUGUUUUGGCAUUUGGGGACGUUGUAUUUGAUAAAACUUCUCCUACAGAUUUUAUCAUAUCAACCUCAAUCUUGGUCAGGAUACACUUAAGGCCUUUGUGAGUUAGUUAUUAAAAGAUUUUGUUGACGUCCAAGGGUGUGGCUGUGGCGGCACCUCAAAUUUCAAUGCCUCACCAUGAAACAGGAAGUUGCGUUUAAAUUGCUGUAACUCAGCCACAGCCAUUUGUUCAAUCAUCCCCAAAUUUCACAGUGAUGGUGAGGGUCCCAACAUGAACACACCCACGUCAAUAUUAACAAAAAGGUAUAGCACCACCUACUGGACACAGAAAAUGACAUGUUUUAGACUUUGACGUUCUGUUACUAUCAGGUUGAUGUGAUCCACUUCAGACUUGGUCAGGAAAGCCUUAAUGCCUUCAUGAUGCCUUAUAGUGAAAAUUUUGAUGUUCCAUUGAAGGGCGUGUUUUUGGCGCUGUGGUGAAAUUCAAUGUUUCGACAUUAACCAGGAAGUUGAUAUAACUCAUGCAUACUUUGUCUGAUCUGCCCCAAAUUUCACAGGUUUGACAACAGACCUGUCCUGACCACAGCUACAUUCCAGUAUACAGAUAUUAUCAUAGUGACACCUAUUGGCAACAGGAAAUUAUGUGUUUUAUCUAAGUAGCUUGAUCUGAUUCACCUCAGGAGUGAUCAGACAAACAUGAAGAUCAUAAUGGUGACUGUGAAUUUUCAUGGGACACCCUUGCUGUGUUGCCAUGGCGAAUUUUGAUGAUUUGCUGUUGUGUUGUUUUAACUCCCGCAUGCACUGUCCAAUCAGCCCCAAACUUGAUAUAUUUGCUAAGUGUUGUGGCCUGAACACAUCUACAUGCCAAUAUUCAGGUAUAGUCAUAGCGCCACAUGAUGGGAGAAGUAAGGGACUUCUGACUCAUUCAUUCUGUGUCUGGCGGUCAUGCAGUUGCAGAACCGCAUUAUACGACCUCCGCUGGUCCCCCAACGUGCCCAUGCAAGGUGCAAGGGCCCGUUCAAUGCUGCUUGCAGCUUUAAUUGUCAUUGUUAUUUAUCUGUUGUAUACGGUAUAUUUUCAUAUAUAGUCAGUGACUGUAGUCCAGUGAUCCAGGUUGUAACACCAGAACCUUUCAUUUCACUUGUUUCCUGUAAAAAUAAAUCUCUUUUCUUUUCUCAGAUGUUCGCAGCAUCAGCCUGGUUCCCUCCACAAAAAGCCAAUGGGAUUUUGUAAAAAGAAGUAAGAAGCUAAUGUUAGGCUAUAAACCAACUACACCACGGUCACAUGACGUCAACGUCUCCACCACUAAGCUUCCAACUGGUCAUUUCAUUUAGCUCUGAGCUCUUCUACAAAAGCCUUUCUUCUUAGAAAGUUAGUGAGAGUUUGAAAGAGUGUGAGUAGAAACACAACGAGGCUGUAAAGGUGGACUGGUGAGUAGAUGGGUUUUCAUGUUAACGUCCCAGACAACCUCUGUAGUCUCAUUUAGACACUCAUUAGCAACCACCUUUUUUAAGACACGUAAAAGCUUCAAACAUCAGGAGUGGGGGAUUUACUGACCCAUUUUAUGUCCCAGAAUCAAACCUGAAAAUGUCUUGAGCUUGUGUUAAAACCACAGACCUUAUUUCAGACAUUUAACCAGAAACACACUGACUCUGGAACGAGGGAACAGGAAGUGCUAACAUGCUAAUUUGCUUCCUGGUUUUAGCAUCAGUCCUGCUGGACUCUGCGUGUGAUAAUGAUACUAAUAACAGCACCACACACACACGCGCGUUCUGUACGUUAUCAUAUAUUCACACACACACACACACAGGUCUAAAUAUAAACCUCAUUACAGAUUCCUUCAUUGAACAAACAAUAGACUGAUGUUGUCGUUGCUACAGUGACAUCAUCAGUCUGUGUUGUCAUGACAACAGUAAUCUGAUGAGACUGAGCUGAUCAAUGAUCAGAAUGAUUGAUUGUCAUCUGAAGAGACAGAAACAGCUGAUCUUCACACAGACUGAGGUCCCCCCCCCCCCAUUGACCCAGCAGCUCUAUGUAGACCCACCUCGCAGAGUCUAGAUCCAGGAGGGGCCCUGGUCUCCCAGCAGCUGCAGCCUCGUCUGUCAAUCACCUCCUAAAAUAGAAAGCUGCAGUCUGACACCGACUCUCUCUCUCUGUCUGUUUCUAUGUCUCUCUGCCGUCCUCUCUCUCUCUCUGGACCUGCAGUCUGUCAGCAACACUCAGCCUCGCUCGCCCUCUCUCUCUCCUCCAGUUGGUGUCGAUCGCCCCAACACUGAGCCGAAGCUGAGCCGAGUUUAAUCUGAAACAAACAAAAACACAGAGACUCUGGGACCAGAACUUCUUCUGAACUGGAUCUAAACUAAAGACUUCUGGGGCAAUGUAAAACCGUGAAAUGUUCCUUUAAAGUUUGGUUUUAAUCCCUGAAACAAACAGAGACCAAGUCCUGCAACUGGACCAAAGACCUGGACCUGAUCCCGAUCAGAGCUGGUCCUGUUGGAACAGAAACACAAACAGUGGAAUCUGUGGAGGUUGGAGAAGACGUGAAACGACAAGUGAAAACAGCUGAUUCAUGUUUCAUCAGAGAUGAACGUCUGGAGUCGAACACAUUCAGAUUAAAGACAAACAAUGAGCAGAGGAGGAGGAGAGGUCUUCCUCAGCGCUCACCGCUGCCCUGAAGUCGACCUGCUGCCUCAUCACGACUCUGAGACACAGAUCCUUCCACUGUGUUCACAAGUUCCUGCAGAGAAUAGUCAUGAGUUCACCUGUACAGGUCGAUCAGAGGCGGAUUACCUGGACGUGUCCUCCACCUAUCGCUCUGAGGAGGAGGAGGAGGAGGAAGAGGGGAGUAUCAGUGAAUGGUCAGAGGAGGAUCUCUCCCUCCAUUUCUCUCCCUCCGUCAUCCUCCCAUCGGAUGAUGAAGAGUCAGAUCCAGAAAACUGUUUCAGGUGUGUCGAUGUUACCGUGGAAACACAGGUGACAGGUCAUGAGGGGGGAGGUCUAAAGAUGGUCCCUAAACGACAGAUUCAUCUGAAGAAGAAAGACAUGGAGAGCGUCACUGAGCAGGAGAAACCUGAGAAACUACAGGUGACACCGACCAUCCAUCACCGCCCUGAUCUGUUGCUACGGCAACACAGUAUGCCUGCCUCCUUCCACACACGUUCAGUGACCAGCGGUGACGUUGACAGCUACAGGGUCUACAGGGGCCUGAUCGCAGGAGCUGGCCAAGGUUUUCAGGUUGGAGGAAACUCUGCGGCGCCGAGGCGUCUGCAGAAAUCUUUCUCUCUGGAUGAAACUAAAGCAAAGAUGGCGUCCUGUAUCAUUAAGAACGUCCUCUCCAAGAAGAUGCAGGUGGAGCAGAGCAACACUAACACCUCACACCUGAAGAAGAAACCUGAGGUGUUACCUGUCCUCCCCCCACCUGCAGACCAGCAGAGGGGGAAAGAGGGGGAGGGGGUGGGUGGAGGUGCAUUUAAAGCUCCUGUUCACGUGGUGAGAGACGUGAGGAGUUUAGUUAAAAACACCUACAGCCUCUCGUUCUCCUCAGCAGCGACGCCCGACAACCACAAACCAACGAGCUUCAAGGUGAUUGGUCAGGAGGGCAGUCCCCCUCCUACCUACCAGCAGGCCGUGGGGGUCAAAGGUCACCAUAAGACAGAGACAAAGUCCCCCAAAGGACACGUUGCCAGAGUUGCUGCAUCUCUCAACCAAUCACACGACAGGAAACAGAGGGACACGUUGAGUCGUCCAAUCACGCAGCAGAGACGAGGCAGCGAGCCAAUCAUAAGCAGGAGGAAGGAUGAUGUCACCUGGCCUGUCACAUUAUUAGACUCUGCCCCUGCUCACCAUCCCAGCCAAUCAGAGAGAGCCGGAUCUAUGAGUCACCAGCCCUCCCCUCCUCCCCCCUCCACCCCCACACAUCCCCCAGAGACCCGGCCUUCCCCCUCUGCCCAGGAACAGAGCUCCCUGCAGGGUGUGUUCCCUCCGUCUGCCCCCUGUCUCUACACCUCCUCCACCCUCACCCCUCACCUGGGGAAGGUCAGCUACGUCCACACCCCCCUCACCUACCUACAGCUGCAGCCCCCCUCACCUGCCCCCACCCUCCACCUGCUGAGGAGGUCUGAGGAAAACCAGAACACCUCGGACCGGCUCGACCGCUUCAUCAAGACCUGCCCCCCACAGCAGACUAGGUCCACCAGAGACCGGGGGGGCCCCAGUGACACAGCGACCCCUCCCUCACAGAAUCAACAAAACCAACACCACCCUCAGCAACAGCCAUUUGUCUGCAGCGUUCAGGGUUUCUUACCUGCACAGGUGAGUGGUGACUUCCUCGUUGACAUCACUGGUUCUGCUGUUCCACCUAGAGCCGUACUCAACGCCCCCCCCCGCCGUCACCUGAUGUUUGACCCUAAGAGUGGGAGGUGCUUCUAUGUGGACAUGCCCCCUCAGCCUCAGAGGAAGAUGCUGCUGGAUCCAGAAACUGCUGACUGAGCUCUGGAUGAUCGAGCACUGAAAACUGGAGAGAGAGAGAGAGAGUUGGUGUUAGAGGUGAAAGUCCACAGAGAUUAACGACAGAUUAUUAACCACACACAGAAACCUGUCUCCAUGUGACAGGAACUUCUCACCUGUUCAAGUGUUUCAGCAGUUUUCAGGUACACACCUGCAGAGAGAGGACACCUGAGGAGAGGACACCUGCAGAGAGAGGACACCUGAGGAGAGGACACCUGCAGAGAGAGGACACCUGAGGAGAGGACACCAGGAGAGAGGAAAUCUGCAGAGAGGACAGGUGCAGACAGAGGACAGGAAGCAGUGACGGGCUCAGAUCUGAGAGGUGGAACUGACCUGAGGUGGUCUCUGGAACUAACCUGAGGGAAGACCAGGUACUUCACCUCCUGUGGGAUCAUUAACACCUUGAGAGUCAUCACCUGAGUCACCAGAUGAGUCAUCAGAGUCACACGAGUCCUCACUGAGGGUAGGUCUAGUCUGAUGGUUUCUGUCAGUCCAUAACCAUCGGUCUUCUCUGGUCCUCAGAUCAGGGUCCUGGUCCUUCAGUUGUAGGUGGAUCAAGUCCUGACAUGAGAACCUGGUUCUAGUUUCCUGUACAGGUGUGAUUUCCUCUCUGUGUCUGAAUUCAAAUUAAAUCUGAACAUUAAGAUCCUGAUCAUUCCUGACUCUGAUAAUUUCUGAUCACUGAUCAAUAAUCCAAUAAAACAGAACUCUUUCACACAUGCAGCAUUUUAUUGCAUUUAUCAUCUUUCAGUUUGUACAAUAUUACAACAAUAAACAAUAAGAAUAAUUUCUCUGUUUGUCACCAAAUAUUUGCAUCAUUUUCAGAUCAAAGAAACCAAAAACACAUGAGGACAGAGGACCAGUUUAAACCAGUUAAACCAGUUCAGACCAGUUUAAACCAGUUCAGACCAGUUCAGACUGGUUCAGACCAAUUUAAACCAGACCAGAUUAAAACAGUUUACUGGUUCAGACCAAUUUAAACCAGUUCAGACCAAUUUAAACCAGUUUAAUCCAGUUCAGACCAAUUUAAACCAGACCAGAUCAGUUUAAGUUUAAACUGGUUCGGACCAGUCCAGACUAUAGAUCCUGGUUCUCAGGUGUAUGAACAGAAAUGUGAAAUCUGAGUCUGUUUCCUCUGUGGGACCUGGACUCUUUUGGCCACACCCACUGAGGGGUGGGGCCAUCUGAUCAAUAAUCAACAAUCCACCUUUCAAUCGCACUGUCUGGAGCUAUGCUAACAGUCUUUGUGCUAAGCUAGGCUACCAUGUUCUGACCUGUUUCAAACUGCACCUGGCAGGUGUAUCCUCAGGGAAUGUGGUGCGUUCAGAUUCAGCGGUAAAGUCUAAAACUGAACUCUCUGCCACCUCCUGCAGGUAAACAGGUGACAUCGCUCUGUCCAUUUCCAUGGAGACCAGAGCUCACCUGAAGCCGAACACAAUAAAAACCAAGAGUCCUCUGAGAGCAGAUCGAUCACUGAUUGUUUGUUAAUGAUCUGACUGCUGAUUGGAGGACGCAAAAUAAAAUGUGAUGUCACCAAUCUGAACCUGGUAUCCAUGGAAACACUCAGUGAUCAGAUCAAACUGAUCAAUAUGUUUCCUUCUCUUUAUAAAUAUAAACUUUCACUUAAAUAAUCAUUGAUUAUCGAUUAUUUUUGUCCAAGUUAUCGAUCGUCUGCUGUUCGGACUCCACCCACAGCCUCUCAGCCAAUCACAGCGCAGGAUUUUCAG